GAGGUAGACAAUGUCAAAAAAGAUUUUAAGCACAGUUUACAAGUCGGUGGCUCAUCAUAAAGACGUAAGCAAAACUUAUCAUAAUAGAUCAUUGGAAUUAAUUUAAUGCUUAAUUAUAUAAAAAAAAAAAGAAGAUGUGGUAUGAUUGCCAAUGAGACAACUCUCCACAAGAGACCAAAAUGACACAGAAAUUAACAACUAUAAGUCAUUGUACGGCCUUCAACAAUUAGCAAAGCCAAUCUUCUGACAAACAAGACACGACCAACGCAUUUGAAAUUGUAUGUCUCUUGUGUAUGCAAUUCAUGUAAAGAAUCAAAUAAAGAAUCAAUGAUUUUGACCUUUUCAAAUUGGGUAAUUUAAUUUAACUAAUCCUUUGCCGUUUUUUGUUAAUGCUCUGGCAUAAUUAUAUGUUUAUAUAUUUAAAGACCGCUUAUAGGUAGUUUUUAGACGUAAAUAUUUAUAACUCAUCAUCUUUAGGUAGUCUAGAUUAUGUAUCUUUAGCUAGAUAGUACAUCUACAUAUUCUGGCUUAGCGCUUCAUAUAUGCUUGAUUUGAUAUUGCAUAUGAUUUCAUAUUCGUUAGAGGGAGGAAACUUCAUUUUAAAAGAGGGAGUUCCAACCCAGGAUAAUGGACACUACACAUUAUUUUUUACUUAUUAUUUAGUUAAUGUGCAUAGAAGGCGGAACGAUUGGAGUAGCUGGAGGUGUACACUACACAUUCCUUUUUACUUAUUAUUUUAGGUAGCGUGUAUAGUAGGCGGAACGAUUGGAGUAGCCAUAUUUGCCGCGUCGUUUAUGACUUUCACUUCAAUUCGAGACCCAGACGUCAGGUAUAUUAAAACAAACUUCCAACACUUAGUGUAAUGUAAACCUAUAAAGGCGAAAUUUAAAAUUUCAAUGACAUGCGAUAAUAUACAGAAAUAAAAAGGUUAAGCAACACGUAUAUUUAUAAUUGUAUAUUUAUAAAAUAAGAUAUUCAUUCUUCUUAAGAUGACAGUAAUUAAUUAUUGUAAUUGAAAAAUUUGCAGAAAGAUACAAUUUAUACUCGAAAGAAAACUCACAGGGUGUAAUGCAUUCUUGUUGCUUUGAGAUGGAGAACUGCAACGAAAACUAUGUGCCUUUUGUCAAAUGCCUGAAAGUUAUGACACCUUUUUUAGUAUAAGAUCAUCCAGCUAGAUGGCUUAUUGCAUAUCCAAAGAAGACUUGUACAUUAUUAAAGUCUUGCGCAGGAACUGUUCAGCCCCUUACCAGUUGGGGAUCAAUGUAUAUGAACAUGUCGUCAGAUAAUGUCCACAGGCUUUCCAGACAAAAAUUCCGUUUUCGUUUUGUUUGUUUUGCUAUUGAAAGAUUUUUAUGUAGCUUAAUUUUCUUCAUGUUAUUUACGAAAAAAAAAGGGAUGUCCAUCCUCCAAGCGUUUUUGAUUGAUUGAUUGAUGUAUGGUGUUUUAACGCCACUCUGAAGCACCGCAUUUAGGCUAUUAAACGGCGGCCAGUUUUUAUUGGUGAAGGAAGUUAGAGUGCCCGGCGAAAACCAUCGACCUUCGAUAGGAAAACUGACAAUCCUAGUCAAUAGUUUUUGGCAUUCUACCUAUAUUUAAAUUUCUGACACACAUAAGUCAUGGUAGCUAUUAAUUUUGUUUUUAUUAUUUUAUUCUUUUCUAGUUAUGCAAAUAAGCAACAUGCGGUAUCAUCUAACCUGCUAAAGAGUUCAACAACACUUCCAGUGAGUCAAAUGUUUUGAUUUUAGGUUUUAACGACAGUUAUGUCCCCUUUGUUCAAUUGUCUUCGAUUGUCUUUAGUUGGAAUCUUCAUGAGAAGAAAUAAUUUUAGUUUUCAUUAAUAAAUAUUUAUGUUAAUGAAGAAUUUAUAGGCUAUAUAUGCUAAAGAAAGCACCAAUUUAAAGUUUCUAGACGGUGUUAUUAUAAACAUCAUCCAUUUAGAGUUGAUUUGUUUGGGUUUUUUUCAAAAAAUUUGAAGAAAUCAAAAUACAUUUUAAAAUAUUAGGUUGUGCUUAUUUUCUUUCAGCUGAUAGUACAAAAUAAAGAAGUGUAUGGACCAAGGCCAGAUGUUCCUGCAGAGUUUUCACGAUAGUACAAACAGGUCACGCCAAUUGUUUUCCAUUUUAAGAAAAGAUCUCAUGAGUCGAUUUGAUCAUCUGCUUCCAUCUGAUUUAUUGAUGUGACUACAAAGAUAGUUGUAUAUCUAAUGCAGAUUUUCUCGAAAUUUUUGAAAUAUUCUACUUCUCUUUUGUUAAAAAAUAUACUGUAUUUAUUUUACCAUACAAUUUUAUUAAACUCAU
rnacentral:lncRNA from 1 species